rnacentral:rRNA from 1 species
UACGAAGGGGGCUAGCGUUGUUCGGAUUUACUGGGCGUAAAGCGCACGUAGGCGGAUCGUUAAGUCGGGGGUGAAAUCCUGGAGCUCAACUCCAGAACUGCCUUCGAUACUGGCGAUCUUGAGUCCGGAAGAGGUGAGUGGAACUCCUAGUGUAGAGGUGGAAUUCGUAGAUAUUAGGAAGAACACCAGUGGCGAAGGCGGCUCACUGGUCCGGAUCUGACGCUGAGGCGCGAAAGCGUGGGGAGCAAACAGG